UUUCCGAGGACAUUUUAGAAAUGAUUUCGUGGUCAUGGGAGAAAGUAUGAAGCUUGGAGGAGUGGUGAAAUUGGUUCGAACAAUUUUUAUUCGAAAACUGAACGUUUUAGGGGAGGUCAAAGGAGUUGACUUUUUAUACGUUCAUAAUUGGGGAAAACUUCCUUCAUGAAAGUUGUAGAGCUCGUCGAUACGAUCUCGUGCAUAUGUGGUAUGCAAAAAUCAGAGUUCGUAUGAAUUAGUUAUGAUUUUUUUGAAAAAGUUUCCAGUUUAGUAUAAAGCUGCCAUUUUUGGAAAUUACCAAAAAUAAUUUCAGUUCCAUUUCUGGAAACCGAACUCUCUCUCUCUUGCGCGCGUCCGAGCCCAGAAAAAACAGAGCAAAGCUCUCCGGCCGAGUUCUCCCUCCUCCGGCCACCAAUCGACACCAGACCACCUCCCUUGCCUUCGCCUCGACGCCGCCUACCUGCUAGACGUGAUCACUUCCACCGGAACGGCCUCAAAUCCGGCAGUCGGAGCCGCAAACUUUGAAACAAAAAUCGGUCAACGCCGGUUUUCUCCUAGCUCCGGCCACCAAAACUCACGAUCCUUAGCUCCCUGAACUCGCCUCAACCUUCUGAUCAUCAUUCUAGAAGGAUCGCACCUGGAGUGAUCGGAUUCACGUUCGUCGGAGCUCGCCGGAUUCUGGAAAUUUUCCACCACCACCGAAGCUUUUGAUAGAAGGAAUCGAAGCCUGAAAUUGAAGUUUGUACGUCGAAUUGGAGCUCGCCGGUUUCUGCAGUUUCUCACCGGUUUCUGGAAAAAAAUCCGGCCACCCCGACUGUGUUAGGUAAUUUCGACCACUUCCGGUCAUUUUCAGCUUACAUGGUAGUUAUGAAAGUUGUUAAGCAUGAUGAGAGGAAGAAGAGCAGCCCGGCCCCGACACCAUUGGCGGUGGUCGGCGGCGGCUCUGCCACUAACUCCGGCGGCCCUUUCCGGCCACCUCCGGGGAUCAAAAAUAUGGUUUCUGUACAUUUUCAGAUUCUAUAUUUCAAUACGAUCAUUUCGAUAUAUUAUACGCAAUUUUUGGAUAUCGUAUGAUUAAGUUAUGAAUUUUUAAGUUUAGAUCGAUUUCGAUCGUUAGAUUUGUGAUCUGUGAAGUUAGGACCGUCAGAUGGACUUGUAGUUUUGAUAUGAUGAUCUUAUGACUGUCCCAGUGGCUUUGUGUGGUCAUGGGCGAAGAUCCGACCGUUGGAUCUUCGUAUAAAUGCAAAACAGUGAUUAGGAAGGCGAUCCGUGAGGAUCCGACCGUUGGAUCAUCAUGUAAUUUCAAUCCGACCGUUGGAUUGUCGUUUGAUUAUGUUUUUGAGUUAUUGGCUAAGUUAAGGUCAUGUUUGAUUAGGUGAUCGACGGUUUGAUUUGGCGGACGAUUCGUGAAAUUGUAUUUUGAGCUGUUAAGAAGACGCAGCGGGAAUUUAGAGCGGGUAAUCCUACAGGACAGGAGAACCAGGACGGUGAUCGUGCGGUUAGAGCAAUGGUUAUAGUUUUACAGCAAUUGUAAUAGUGAGGCGAGUUAAGCUCAUUUGAGCAUUACAAUUUGAUUUGGUGGGAGUGUGCUGUAAUAAAUAACUUGAGGAUUUGGGUUAUUGUAAAUUUGAGAGUUGUGAAGUGUGGUUGUUUGUGAGAAAAAAAUUCAGGAUGUUAGUUGUAAUUUGUUAUUAUUCAUGUUUCGGAUUUGAAUUGAUUAUUCAAAAUUCGGGGCGUGACAGUUUGGUAUCAGAGCGUAAGGUACAUAUUUGGUGAUAAUCAGUACCUCCCGAGUGAUGGCCCGUCUGCAGCGGAUCCCCAUCAUAUACUCUUCGGUACUGGUAUAAUCAUUGGGUAUGUCUUAGUAUGGGGUCUAGACAACGUGUAAGUCCGUAGGACGGUAGAGUUGUCUACUAAGUUCGUAUUAGAAUAAGUUUAGUUUCCGCGAGUUGUGAUCUUCGAGGAAUAGGAACCUCUGGAUUUAACUCUGAUGAG